ACUCUAAUCACACAUCAAAUAAUUUUUUUUUAGGAAAACUUCAAAACCCCCUGUGUUUUCAUAGUUUCUCACUUUGCCCCCUGUGGUUUAAAAUGUAUCAAUUUGCCCUCCUAUGAUUUCUUUUUUUUUCCUUUUCUUAUCAAUUUUAUUUUUUUUUUCUUAAAUCAAUGAUAAAGUUAAAAUUAAAGGAUACUAAAGUGAAUAUUUGAUAAAUCUAAAUGUGUAUCUGAAGUUUUUUGUAUAUAAUUUAAUAAAAUAUUAAGGAAAAAGCUACCGAAAAGAUAAAAACGAAACCACAGGGGGGCAAAUUGAUACAUUUUAAACCACAUGGGGUUUUUUGAAGUUUUUCCUUUUUUUUAUAAGUAUCCAUUUGUUA
rnacentral:lncRNA from 1 species